UGAAACAACGAUACACGUACGAUCACCGAAGUUAAGCAACGUUGAGCCUGGUCAUUACCGCGAUGGGUGACCAUUUGGGAAUACCAGGUGUUGUACG